rnacentral:rRNA from 1 species
ACGCUGGCGGCGUGCCUAAUACAUGCAAGUAGAACGCUGAAGGAGGAGCUUGCUCUUCUGGAUGAGUUGCGAACGGGUGAGUAACGCGUAGGUAACCUGCCUGGUAGCGGGGGAUAACUAUUGGAAACGAUAGCUAAUACCGCAUAAGAGUAGAUGUUGCAUGACAUUUACUUAAAAGGUGCAAUUGCAUCACUACCAGAUGGACCUGCGUUGUAUUAGCUAGUUGGUGGGGUAACGGCUCACCAAGGCGACGAUACAUAGCCGACCUGAGAGGGAGAUCGGCCACACUGGACUGAGACACGGCCCAGACUCCUACGGGAGGCAGCAGUAGGGAAUCUUCGGCAAUGGACGGAAGUCUGACCGAGCAACGCCGCGUGAGUGAAGAAGGUUUUCGGAUCGUAAAGCUCUGUUGUAAGAGAAGAACGAGUGUGAGAGUGGAAAGUUCACACUGUGACGGUAUCUUACCAGAAAGGGACGGCUAACUACGUGCCAGCAGCCGCGGUAAUACGUAGGUCCCGAGCGUUGUCCGGAUUUAUUGGGCGUAAAGCGAGCGCAGGCGGUUAGAUAAGUCUGAAGUUAAAGGCUGUGGCUUAACCAUAGUACGCUUUGGAAACUGUUUAACUUGAGUGCAAGAGGGGAGAGUGGAAUUCCAUGUGUAGCGGUGAAAUGCGUAGAUAUAUGGAGGAACACCGGUGGCGAAAGCGGCUCUCUGGCUUGUAACUGACGCUGAGGCUCGAAAGCGUGGGGAGCAAACAGGAUUAGAUACCCUGGUAGUCCACGCCGUAAACGAUGAGUGCUAGGUGUUAGACCCUUUCCGGGGUUUAGUGCCGCAGCUAACGCAUUAAGCACUCCGCCUGGGGAGUACGACCGCAAGGUUGAAACUCAAAGGAAUUGACGGGGGCCCGCACA